CGGUGUUUAACUGGCGUGAUGUGGGACGUCCUACCGGUGGGCUUAGCCUCGCGAGGGGCGGCCCAACUAAUAUCCCGUCGCGGUGCUCUUUACUGAGUGUCGAGUCGGGCCGGUACGUUUACUUUGAACAAAUUAGAGUGCUUAAAGCAGGCUAUCCUCGCCUGAAUACUGCGUGCAUGGAAUAAUGGAAUAGGACCUCGGUUCUAUUUUGUUGGUUUUCGGAACCCCGAGGUAAUGAUUAAUAGGGACAGAUGGGGGCAUUCGUAUUGCGACGUUAGAGGUGAAAUUCUUGGAUCGUCGCAAGACGGACAGAAGCGAAAGCAUUUGCCAAAAAUGUUUUCAUUAAUCAAGAACGAAAGUUAGAGGUUCGAAGGCGAUCAGAUACCGCCCUAGUUCUAACCAUAAACGAUGCCAGCUAGCGAUCCGCCGAAGUUCCUCCGAUGACUCGGCGGGCAGCUUCCGGGAAACCAAAGCUUUUGGGUUCCGGGGGAAGUAUGGUUGCAAAGCUGAAACUUAAAGGAAUUGACGGAAGGGCACCACCAGGAGUGGAGCCCUGCGGCUUAAUUUGACUCAACACGGGAAACCUCACCAGGCCCAGACACCGGAAGGAUUGACAGAUUGAUAGCUCUUUCUUGAUUCGGUGGGUGGUGGUGCAUGGCCGUUCUUAGUUGGUGGAGCGAUUUGUCUGGUUAAUUCCGAUAACGAACGAGACUCUAGCCUGCUAAAUAGGCGUACCUUAUGGUAUCGCGAAGGCCCCCGGCUUCGGCCGGUGGGUUUUUACUACCAACGUACAAACAAAUCUUCUUAGAGGGACAGGCGG
rnacentral:rRNA from 1 species